CCAUUGAUACUCUAUCAGUAUGGAAAGCAAAUGAGGCCAAAUAGGACUUAGCUUGAGGGAGGGAAUCGACUGUCCUGUUCAGUCGAGCCCGGGGAGAUGACGACGGAGAGCUGCAUCGCCAGAAUCUGAGUACACAGCAGCGUAGGUGGUUGUCGUUCCCCGGACCGCGCAGGUGGCGGCUGUUCGCCGGACUCCAGCGGCAACAGCAGCAGUCCAAGGUGGGUAAGGAAUUAGGGCUUACCACUCUGCCUUGAGCAUAUGAUUCCAAAGAGAAAUUAAGGAGGGCGAGGGAUAAGCAGCGAGGUGCUAGCUUCACCGGGAACCGCAGACGGUGGCUGCCGGUUUGGACGAAGGCGUGUAGAGAGAAAGAGAGACGAGAGCAGACAGGAGAACUCCGGCCUUGAGGCGACGACGACCCUGAAGGUUGCAGGGUGGUGGCGAUUACGAUUUCAGAUGAGAGAAAUUAGAGCUUCUUUGCUUAUUUUCUUCAGUAGACUCGAGCGAGAGGAAUUCAGACGGGAAGGUGAGUGCGACUAUAAGCCACCGGAAUCACAUAACCCCCGGCGAUAGGGCGGCGAUUGCCCAUCAAUUCUGAGAAAGGAGCGACAGAUUUCUAGGAAUUUUGGAUCGGAGAUUUUUUUUUCUUUCCU
rnacentral:lncRNA from 1 species